CAGUCGCCGCGGGAAUACGGAGGGUGCAAGCGUUACUCGGAAUCACUGGGCGUAAAGGACGCGUAGGCGGAUUAUCAAGUCUCUUGUGAAAUCUAACGGCUUAACCGUUAAACUGCUUGGGAAACUGAUAAUCUAGAGUAAGGGAGAGGCAGAUGGAAUUCUUGGUGUAGGGGUAAAAUCCGUAGAUAUCAAGAAGAAUACCUAUUGCGAAGGCGAUCUGCUGGAACUUAACUGACGCUGAGGAGCGAAAGCGUGGGGAGCGAACAGGAUUAGAUACCCCUGUAGUCCCUGUCUCUUAUAC
rnacentral:rRNA from 1 species